rnacentral:rRNA from 1 species
GGCUUAGGACGAACGGCUGGCGGCGUGCCUAAUACAUGCAAGUCGAACGGUCUUUCUAUGGAAGCUUGCUUCCACUGAGAAGAUAGUGGCGAACGGGUGAGUAACACGUGGGUAACCUGCCCAUAAGAGGGGGGAUAACAUCCGGAAACGGGUGCUAAUACCGCAUAGUUUCUUGAUCGCAUGAUCGGGAAAGGAAAGACGGCCUUUGUGCUGUCGCUUAUGGAUGGACCCGCGGCGUAUUAGUUAGUUGGUGAGGUAACGGCUCACCAAGACGAUGAUACGUAGCCGACCUGAGAGGGUGAUCGGCCACAUUGGGACUGAGACACGGCCCAAACUCCUACGGGAGGCAGCAGUAGGGAAUCUUCCGCAAUGGACGAAAGUCUGACGGAGCAACGCCGCGUGAGUGAAGAAAGGUUUUCGGAUCGUAAAACUCUGUUGUCAGAGAAGAACAAGUUGGAGAGUAACUGCUCCAGCCUUGACGGUAUCUGACCAGAAAGCCACGGCUAACUACGUGCCAGCCGCCGC